GAUGAAGAACGUAGCGAAAUGCGAUAAGUAAUGUGAAUUGCAGAAUUCAGUGAAUCAUCGAAUCUUUGAACGCACCUUGCGCCCUUUGGCCAUUCCGAAGGGCGUGCCUGUUUGAGUAUCAUGAACACCUCAACUCUUUAUGGUUUUCCAUGAUGAGCUUGGACUCUGGGGGUUUUGCUGGCUCACAGUCGGCUCCUCUAAAAUGAAUCAGCUUACCAGUGUUUGGUGGGUAUCAUGGGUGUGAUAACUAUCUACGCUUGUGGUUUUUCCACCAGGUAACCUUCAGCAGUGGAGGUUCGCUGGAGCUCAUAGAUGUCUCUCCUCAGUGAGGACAGCCCUUUGAAUGUUUGAUCUCAAAUCAGGUAGGACUACCCGCUGAACUUAAGCAUAUCAAUAAGCGGAGGA
rnacentral:misc_RNA from 1 species